rnacentral:rRNA from 1 species
UACGGAGGAUGCAAGCGUUAUCCGGAUUUAUUGGGUUUAAAGGGUGCGCAGGUUGUUUGAUAAGUCAGUGGUGAAAGUCUGUCGCUUAACGGUAGGAUUGCCAUUGAUACUGUUGGACUUGAAUAUGGAUGAGGUAGGCGGAAUGUGUAGUGUAGCGGUGAAAUGCAUAGAUAUUACACAGAACACCGAUUGCGAAGGCAGCUUACUAUCCAUCAUUGACGCUGAGGCACGAAAGCGUGGGGAUCGAACA